rnacentral:lncRNA from 1 species
UAUCAGUUAUGAGCAAAGUUGUUACUGAUUUCUUGUAUCUCCCAGGAUUCCUGUUGCUUUACCCACAACAGACAAGUGGUUGAAAAGUUCUGAGGCAUUUCCUGGAAUAGAAUGGGUAGUGAAGACCCUUGUCAGCAAUCAAAGGACUCCGGAAACCAGGAGAGCUGUCUACUGUGUCAAGGCUGGCCUGAGGGCAUUUGCUGAGCACAGAGAAACCCAGGAGAGGAGAUCAACAGUCUUUUCCCACCUACCUCUUGAUCUGUCUGAUUUACCCACAGAAAGUCAGCUAGAGUCCUCUAAGAGUCUCUAGGCCCAGAAUGGAGUCCUUAGGGCAACAGGGGAUUGUGAUGCUAACAAUUAAACCUGCUCAGGACCUGAAAGAUUGAAGGGGACUGACAGUAUCCUCAACAUGGCCUCCUAGAUGUGAAUAAACUGCCAACUCCAAUUGUGUCAUUCCCAGUUUGCCUGCUUCCCUUUAGUCUCCAGCAGAACUGGCUGGAGCCCGCUACCACCGCCUCCUGUUUCCCAUCCUGCCACAUGUGUUUUGUGGGUGCCAGCCUUGGACACUUGCAGAGGUCUCCCAGAGAGUAGCUGGUCACCGCCUCUGUAACAGGCUGAGAAAAGCCAUGUAAGAAGGUUCAUGUACUUUAAAAGGCAGGUUCCUUAGCCUCAGAGCCUGUUGUUUUUGUUGGUUAGUUAAGUCCAAAAAUCUCUUGAAGGAUAGGGUAGGGCUUUUCCCACUUAACAUCUGGACUAUAUCCCUUCCCCAGCAAACACUUGGCACUGAGGAGUUC